GCGGUCACGCGCGGCCUCUUUCUCUGCCGCCGCCGAGUCGCGCGGAGGCGGUGGCUCGGGUUUGUUCAAGAUUUAGCUUCGUCCGUAAUCCACCGCCAUGGCCGAGGAAGGCAUUGCUGCUGGAGGUGUAAUGGACGUCAACACUGCUUUACAAGAGGUGCUGAAGACCGCCCUCAUCCACGAUGGCCUUGCACGUGGAAUUCGCGAAGCUGCCAAAGCCUUAGACAAGUACGUUUAUCAGUCUCAAUACUGUGGGUUGUUGCA